UUAAGCGACUAAGCGUACACGGUGGAUGCCCUGGCAGUCAGAGGCGAUGAAGGACGUGCUAAUCUGCGAAAAGCGUCGGUAAGGUGAUAUGAACCGUUAUAGCCGGCGAUGUCCGAAUGGGGAAACCCAGUGUGAUUCGUUGCACUAUCGUUAACUGAAUACAUAGGUUAACGAGGCGAACCGGGGGAACUGAAACAUCUAAGUACCCCGAGGAAAAGAAAUCAACCGAGAUUCCCCCAGUAGCGGCGAGCGAACGGGGAGCAGCCCAGAGUCUGAAUCAGCUUGUGUGUUAGUGGAACGGUCUGGAAAGUCCGACGGUACAGGGUGAUAGUCCCGUACACCAAAAUGCACAGGCUGUGAACUCGAAGAGUAGGGCGGGACACGUGGUAUCCUGUCUGAAUAUGGGGGGACCAUCCUCCAAGGCUAAAUACUCCUGACUGACCGAUAGUGAACCAGUACCGUGAGGGAAAGGCGAAAAGAACCCCGGCGAGGGGAGUGAAAAAGAACCUGAAACCGUGUACGUACAAGCAGUGGGAGCACCUUCGGGUGUGACUGCGUACCUUUUGUAUAAUGGGUCAGCGACUUAUAUUCUGUAGCAAGGUUAACCGUAUAGGGGAGCCGCAGGGAAACCGAGUCUUAACUGGGCGUUAAGUUGCAGGGUAUAGACCCGAAACCCGGUGAUCUAGCCAUGGGCAGGUUGAAGGUUGGGUAACACUAACUGGAGGACCGAACCGACUAAUGUUGAAAAAUUAGCGGAUGACUUGUGGCUGGGGGUGAAAGGCCAAUCAAACCGGGAGAUAGCUGGUUCUCCCCGAAAGCUAUUUAGGUAGCGCCUCGUGAACUCAUCUUCGGGGGUAGAGCACUGUUUCGGCUAGGGGGUCAUCCCGACUUACCAACCCGAUGCAAACUACGAAUACCGAAGAAUGUUAUCACGGGAGACACACGGCGGGUGCUAACGUCCGUCGUGAAGAGGGAAACAACCCAGACCGCCAGCUAAGGUCCCAAAGUCAUGGUUAAGUGGGAAACGAUGUGGGAAGGCACAGACAGCCAGGAUGUUGGCUUAGAAGCAGCCAUCAUUUAAAGAAAGCGUAAUAGCUCACUGGUCGAGUCGGCCUGCGCGGAAGAUGUAACGGGGCUAAACCAUGCACCGAAGCUGCGGCAGCGACACUAUGUGUUGUUGGGUAGGGGAGCGUUCUGUAAGCCUGCGAAGGUGUGCUGUGAGGCAUGCUGGAGGUAUCAGAAGUGCGAAUGCUGACAUAAGUAACGAUAAAGCGGGUGAAAAGCCCGCUCGCCGGAAGACCAAGGGUUCCUGUCCAACGUUAAUCGGGGCAGGGUGAGUCGACCCCUAAGGCGAGGCCGAAAGGCGUAGUCGAUGGGAAACAGGUUAAUAUUCCUGUACUUGGUGUUACUGCGAAGGGGGGACGGAGAAGGCUAUGUUAGCCGGGCGACGGUUGUCCCGGUUUAAGCAUGUAGGCUGGUUGUCCAGGCAAAUCCGGAUAAUCAAGGCUGAGGUGUGAUGACGAGGCACUACGGUGCUGAAGUAACAAAUGCCCUGCUUCCAGGAAAAGCCUCUAAGCAUCAGGUAACAUCAAAUCGUACCCCAAACCGACACAGGUGGUCAGGUAGAGAAUACCAAGGCGCUUGAGAGAACUCGGGUGAAGGAACUAGGCAAAAUGGUGCCGUAACUUCGGGAGAAGGCACGCUGGUGUGUAGGUGAAGUCCCUGCGGAUGGAGCUGAGACCAGUCGAAGAUACCAGCUGGCUGCAACUGUUUAUUAAAAACACAGCACUGUGCAAACACGAAAGUGGACGUAUACGGUGUGACGCCUGCCCGGUGCCGGAAGGUUAAUUGAUGGGGUUAUCCGUAAGGAGAAGCUCUUGAUCGAAGCCCCGGUAAACGGCGGCCGUAACUAUAACGGUCCUAAGGUAGCGAAAUUCCUUGUCGGGUAAGUUCCGACCUGCACGAAUGGCGUAAUGAUGGCCAGGCUGUCUCCACCCGAGACUCAGUGAAAUUGAACUCGCUGUGAAGAUGCAGUGUACCCGCGGCAAGACGGAAAGACCCCGUGAACCUUUACUAUAGCUUGACACUGAACAUUGAGCCUUGAUGUGUAGGAUAGGUGGGAGGCUUUGAAGCGUGGACGCCAGUCUGCGUGGAGCCAACCUUGAAAUACCACCCUUUAAUGUUUGAUGUUCUAACGUUGGCCCCUUACCGGGGUUGCGGACAGUGUCUGGUGGGUAGUUUGACUGGGGCGGUCUCCUCCCAAAGCGUAACGGAGGAGCACGAAGGUUAGCUAAUCCUGGUC
rnacentral:rRNA from 1 species